GACGGAGGAUGCAAGUGUUAUCCGGAAUCACUGGGCGUAAAGCGUCUGUAGGUUGUUUAAAAAGUCUGCAGUUAAAGGUUGAAGCUUAACUUCAAAAAUGCCGUAGAAACUUUUAAACUAGAGGAUGGUAGGGGUAGAGGGAAUUUCCAGUGGAGCGGUGAAAUGUGUAGAUAUUGGAAAGACCACCGAUGGCGAAGGCACUCUACUGGGCCAUGACUGACACUGAGAGACGAAAGCUAGGGGAGCGAAUGGGAU
rnacentral:rRNA from 1 species